rnacentral:rRNA from 1 species
GAUGAACGCUAGCGGCAGGCUUAAUACAUGCAAGUCGUGGGGCAGCAUGAGUAGCAAUACUUGAUGGCGACCGGCAAACGGGUGAGGAACACGUACACAACCUUCCUUCAAGCGGGGAAUAGCCCAGAGAAAUUUGGAUUAAUACCCCAUAAUAUAUUUGAUAAGGCGUCUUAUUAAUAUUAAAGCUUCGGCACUUGAUGAUGGGUGUGCGGCUGAUUAGAUAGUUGGCGGGGUAACGGCCCACCAAGUCUACGAUCAGUAGCUGAUGUGAGAGCAUGAUCAGCCACACGGGCACUGAGACACGGGCCCGACUCCUACGGGAGGCAGCAGUAAGGAAUAUUGGACAAUGGACGAAAGUCUGAUCCAGCCAUGCCGCGUGAAGGAUAAGGUCCUCUGGAUUGUAAACUUCUUUAUAUGGGACGAAAAAGGGCAUUCUUGUUCACUUGACGGUACCAUAUGAAUAAGCACCGGCUAACUCCGUGCCAGCA